CAGAAACAACUGAUAGUGACAAUUCUACCUCUGAGUCUGAGACUCAAAAAGACUCAGAGGAUUCACCAAGAAAACAACCCAGCAAAAAAGCCAAAAAAAGUGAAGAAUCAUCACCAGUGAAGAAGCAAAAAACAAAGAAAAAGACACAGAGAACACCAAAAAAGACACAAUCCAAAAAGAAAAAGGUCGUUGUUGAGCAUUCAUCUCCUGA